rnacentral:rRNA from 1 species
UACGAAGGGGACUAGCGUUGUUCGGAUUUACUGGGCGUAAAGAGCGCGCAGGCGGUCGUUCAAGUCGCGUGUGAAAGCCCCCGGCUCAACUGGGGAGGGUCACGCGAUACUGAUCGACUGGAAGGCAGGAGAGGGUAGUGGAAUUCCCGGUGUAGUGGUGAAAUGCGUAGAUAUGCGGAGGAACACCGAUGGCGAAGGCAAUCCCCCUGGGCCUGCACUGACGCUCAUGCACGAAAAGCGUGGGGGAGCAAACAGG